CAAAGCAAGCUUCCCUCUCUCCUUUUUACUCCCUUCGGCAGCCCCCUCCCCUCCUCACUCCACCACACUUCUCUCCUUGUUUCACCAUUUUUGGAAAGGAUUAAGGAAGCCAAAAGUGCUACCCUCACACCAAGCUAUCAAGUGUACUUCAAUCUUCAAGAUCAAGCUCCAAGAGGCCUACACAUCAUUCUCUACUCCACCUCCAUUGAUCUUGUUGGCUUUGUGGACCAAGGGGAUUAGCACUGCUUUCCCAAGACAGGUUAUGUGAUUAUGAUCUUCAGGCUUUGCCUAUCCAGGUGGGCUUACUUUCCAAAUGUACAAAGUAUGAUUGAGUUAUUAAGCUCUAAAUGUUUCAAUGAAAUGCAAAUUGUUUAUUUAAUGUAAUGAAAACUGUUUAUCCAAUAAAAUGUUUAUGUGCACUCUGCUCUGUUUAAGGCUCGCAAUUCAUGGAUCGAUCGAGGUUCUCUUAUGGCCUAACACGUUAUUUGAGAAUUGUGUACACUUGUUAGUUGUUUCGGUGGGUUGAUCUCCAUCGGGCACUAAUUCAUGUAAGAGGCGUUAUAAGGGUGCUUGGCUGGAUGUGUUCCGGAGCAUGUAUCAUGUAAGGCCUGCCUGGGUAGCGUCCCGAGGUCAAUUCAACUUGUCUGAGUUACGUCCUCAGGGCAAGUGCAAUGGGAGAAAUGGAUCUGUCGGUGGCUAGAGGUCCGGGAUCACAGCGAGUAACAGAAAGGGAGUGUGACAUGUGCGCACAAAUGAAAAAUGUUUUAACAUGCUUAGAAGUUAUUUCAUUUUAAAACCUUCUAAGUCAUGUCAAGUAUAAUUGGAUAAACUGCUCUUACGAAAAUAUGAAAUGUUUAUGAAAAUGCAUGCCCACUAAGUACAUUAGUACUUAGCCCAAAAAUACUUUCAAAUGUUUUCAGGUUGGCUGGCUGGUGCUGACGGGACGGAGCUGAGGCUAGAGUUAAAAUUCAUAUGUUAGACUUCCGCUGUAGCAAUUACUCUUAUACAUCUUUUGUUUUCUCAACUUAAGAUCUUCAUGUUAAAUUUCAAAUGAUAUACCUGACCGAGCUUAGACUCUUCACUACUAAAUUUAUGCUAAUGAAUGUCGGUUGUCAGAAGCAUGAAACAAAACUUGUGAUCCAAAGGGGCAUAGCCCGACUCUCUAUCUUAUUAUUCGGGUUUUAACAAGGUUGUUCCUUGUUUAUUUCUA